AUCAAUUCUUAAUUGAGGGAUUCAAAUCUCGAAAAUCUCUCGCAACCACCAUUUCUAAAAUCUCUCUCUCUCUCUUUGCCUAAAGGAUUCAAGCCCUCCUUGGCUCCACUGUUGGCGCCGUUGCCACAGCUGAAGAAAAACCCAUCACGAAUUCUAAAUAUUUUCAAGAUGACUGUCGGAAGAAAAUCUAAUGCAUUAGUUGAUUAUAAUAACCUCCUCUGCCUGAUCGAGCACCCAGUUUGAGCCAGAUGGGAGCGAUUUGCAAGCAGUAGGAUAUUUCUGCUAAUUUUGAUUGGAUAAAAAACCCAGAUUGUACCGGAAGCUGGAGAAUUUGAGUCCGAUGAAGAGGGUAUAAUUCCGUUCUCGGCACCGAUAAUGGUGGCCUUCGGUGGUUCUAUAGUGGCGUUGGAGCCAAGGAAAUUAAUCUGUGGAAAAGAAGAACUGUGGUUCGACAUUGUCCCAUUUAUCCAUUUUAUUGUGAAAGCCAAGCCCACGCAGGGUACAAAAUAGUCUGAAGCGGGAAUUUCCAAUUUUUUUCUUUAUUUUAUAAACUUUCCAUUUCGAUUGAAAUUUGAAGUUUGUCAAGUAUAAAUGGGAUUGCUAUUUCUGAAUAAUGUAGAUAAUUGAUUUAAAUAUCGAGUGAUUAAAAUUAUUUGCCCUACAAUUUCUCUUCCAGAUCUUUUAUUUUCAUUUCUCUUCUUCCUUUCUCCCAUUCUGUCAACCAUGUGAACAGUCUCUUCAACAAAAGAUUUAAAAGCUUUUCUCAGGGUUGCUGAAUAAAGCAUUUGGGAAAAAUGUUGGGGUUAAUCUGUAGAAGAUGUCGGCAGAUGUAAAAUGUUGGGCAAAUCACACCCACUAACAUAAGCUUGGCUUAGAGGGAGCUUGUUAUUCAGCCUCGGUGGUGGUGGCAGUAGCAGCGACGACGG
rnacentral:lncRNA from 1 species